UACGGGGGGGGGCAAGCGUUGUUCGGAAUUACUGGGCGUAAAGGGCUCGUAGGCGGCCAACUAAGUCAGACGUGAAAUCCCUAGGCUCAACCUAGGAACUGCGUCUGAUACUGGAUGGCUUGAAUCCGGGAGAGGGAUGCAGAAUUCCAGGUGUAGCGGUGAAAUGCGUAGAUAUCUGGAGGAACACCGGUGGCGAAGGCGGCAUCCUGGACCGGUAUUGACGCUGAGGCGCGAAAAGCCAGGGGGAGCAAACGGGG
rnacentral:rRNA from 1 species